GGGGUUGAAAUAGAGGUCGGACUCUGCCCACUGAUUAGGUGAUUUAAAGGCUGCAAAAAUUUGUACAAAGGUAGCGCAAUAAGUAGUCUCUUAAUUGGAGGAUAGUAUGAAUGGUUUGACGUGGAGAUGCUGUUUCUAAUGUAGUUAAAAUGAAAUUUCUUUUUAAGUGAAAAAGCUUAAAUUUUUGUAAAAGAUGAGAAGACCCUAUCGAACUUAAUUAUGGCUAGGCAGUUUAUGCUAAAUAGAUUUUAUUUGGUUAGUUUCCUUAGCUUUAAAUUUUACUGGGGCAGUAGAGGGUUAUAUAAUACCUUUCUUUUAUAUUGAAGAGCCUUUUAGAUGGAAAAGAGCAAAAGUUACCGUAGGGAUAACAGCGUAAUUUGGUUCCCGAAAGAUCUUAUUAAGGGAAGAGUGUGCGACCUCGAUGUUGAAUUAAAGGAGCUUUUUGGUUGAAAGUGCUAAAAGGGCAAAACUGUUCGUUUUUUAAUCCUUUACGUGAUCUGAUUCAGACCGGA
rnacentral:rRNA from 1 species